GUUGCAAUUCCAUGGAUAGACGAUCUUGAAAUAUUUGAUCGCAGUCCAUGGGAGUGAGAUUUCAUCAACUUUCAAUUUCUAGAGGGAGAAAGCAACAAGUCGUGGGUCUUCUUUUAUCCAACUAAAAAUGUUCAUCUUGGAUAUUUUAAUUGCAAUGGUGCUCUUAUAAAGUGGGGCAGUGUCAAUUACUAUGUUCAUCAGUUUCAAAUGGGUCAAGAAGUUGUGAGCACUUCUUCUAAACUAGCUUACUUAAGGUAUCAUGAUGAUUUACCCAUAGAGUUUGUGGAUGAUUGGCUAAAAGGAUGGAGUUUGGCAGAGUAUAACUACAAAGGCAAAAGUCUCUACACUCUCAAUUUCUCACCUCAGGCCAAGUCAUUCAUCACCCUAAGAAAAAACAAAAAUGGAGUUGUGCAAAAUAUCUUCCCAAGACGAGUACUAAUGAUGCUGGUAAAAGAAAGGAAUCCACUGGUGCUCCCAAAACGAAGAGGAUUGCUAAUAAAGACAAGGCUGACAAAGUGGCAAAGAAAACUAAAACUGGGGAAACCCUGAAGGUGAAUGUACUUCAGAAGCAAUACGAGUUAAAGGCAUUUUGUCGAGCUCGACAGGCAGUAUUGAGCUAACUGAUAAUGAGGGUGAUCGUGCUCUAUCUGAUAUUGGUGCUGCAUUGGAUGCUAAUAUGAGGAAGCAAAAUCUGAAGCUUUAAGAAGGAAAGGCAUAAUAGAUGCAGUUGAAACCUGGAAGCAAGCUAAGGAAGAAGAAAAAUGGCUUCGUGACUACGAAAAGGAUGGAAACCUCUUCAAUCUUGUAACUCGUAAGAGGAGAGUACGAACACUUAGAACGUGCUAAGAGUCUUGUCAUGCAAAUUCCUGCCAUGAUUGAAGAUCUAAUCAUUGAAGUGAAGGCUUGGGAAAAAGAAAGAGGAAUCCCCUUCUUAUAUGAUAAGGAAACACUUUAAUCACCCAUUAUUACAACUUUUGGAGGAGGAGAUUGCAAAUUGAUUUGUAUCAGUAGCUACUGAUACAAAUCAAGUGAAGUUAGUUCUGUAAAGGUGGAGAAAUUUGCCAGAGAGGAAUUGCAUCAACUGUUGUUUGCCCGUGACUGAGGAUGAACUCGAGUGUGUAAGAGGUUGCAUGGAACAGAACAAACACACUCUGCCUUUUUCUUUAUUCUUUCAAACAGUUGGUAUUCAAGAAAUUGUAGAGAAAUAAUGCACUAACAAAAUGUAGCAGAGAUUUUUCAUGCAAAGAACCAUCAAUAUGUCUGUCUAAAUACCUUAUAUAUUCAAAUUUAAUAUGUUGGUAAGUACA